UUUGAUUUUCAAUAACUCUUUUAAAGAGUUCAUAUAAUCAUAGAGGUCUUCAAAUAUCGUUGUUCCUUCCCCUAGGAUGCAAUCUCCAGAAAAGAUAGCAUUUUCCUCUUCUAAGAGUAGAGCCAUGUGAUCAUCAGUGUGGCCAGGGGUAUAUAGAACUCUGGUUGAAAGAAGAAAUAAGGAAUAAUAACAAUUAUGAACUCGAGCUUAGAAGAAAUUUUGAGAAGUAAAUUAUUCUGUAUCCUUAUCUUUAGACACGAAUAAACAGAUGAGUUAAAAAGCUGCUUUUUCUUUUCUUGAACCCACUGAAAAUUAUCAUUAGAAAAUUCUCUCCUUUAACUAAACCAAGAUUCUCACUCUGAAGUAAAAUUUAAUACUUUUCCCACCCUUUUUCUUUUCUUUUUUUGUAUUAUAUUUUCUUGCUCUUUCUUGCUAUUUUCUUGCAGAGUCUUGCUCUGUCACCAGGCUGGAGUGUAGUGGCACUAUCCCAGUUCACUGCAACCUCUGCCCUCACAGGCUCAAACAAUCCUCUCACCUCUAGGGUUAAGACGGUAGCACUGGAAAUACGAAGGGAGAAAGAGAUAUUUCAAAGAAAAAUGGACAAGGCAUAGAAAUUCGCUAGUUUGAGGAUAAAGGAGACAGAAACACUGAAAUAAAAAGAAACAACAACAAAUACCACCUCCCCUUCCAACCCCAAACUCUAUUAUUUUGUAUCUAAGAGGCCGAAGGAAAACAAUGAUAUGCUUUUCUGGGAAUUGACAUUAUAUAACAAGAUUGAGAUAUUGAGGUUUUUUUGUUUGUUUUGUUUAUAAGCUGUAUAAUUUUAUCUUUCAGUAAAGAAAUGGAGGCAUUACAUUUCUGCUUAUGAGACCUUUAGUAGACAAUUAAAAAAUCACAAUUAUAUCAAAAUUACAAAAUAAAUGUCAUACUAUAACUUUGUAUCUGUCUUCAAAAUUAUGUGCAAAUAUAAAUGAAAACACAUAUCCUAUUUGAGUGGUUGUUGGAGGCUGGGGAUGGGGGAAAUCACUGCAAAGCAGCAUGAGGGGACCUCUUUUUGGAAUGGAGGAAGUGUUCCGUAUCUUGACUG
rnacentral:lncRNA from 1 species